GGUUCCCUUGUAACAUUUCUCAUCAAAGAGUGUUCUAUAGGGAAGAGAUAAAACCUAAACAGUCCAGGAAGCUGAGACAAGAAACUGAAAAAAAAAGGAAAGUGAGCAACAAGAUAAUGUAAGUCACAACUGAGCUAAUUAAGGAGCAGGAGAUGCAGCAGCAUGUCCCAAACAAAACUGAUUGGAGGUCAAGUGUGGACAACCAGAGCAAGUUCUUGCACAGCUAAUGUAUCCCCAGGUGUGAACUGAGUAACGUGAAGAAAGGCAUCCUCCUGCCACCUCCUGAAUCAGUAGAAAAAGACAAAAGCUUUUGAUGGGAUUAUGCUGGAUUCAAUGUCAUGGAACCAAACUGGAAAUUUUCUGGCACAAUUUUAAGCGUUUUGCAUGAACUCUAAUUCAUUGAAAUGUAACAACCUUAUAAGGUUCCAGGUGUGUCUCAGUUUUGAAGCUUCACAGCAGCUGAGUAGUAGUGUGUGGUGAGCAUAACAAAUACCUAAAACUUUCAGGAAGGUGAAUCCUUCUCUCUGACCAUGGGAACUAUGGUCUGAAGAUGAACGCCAAUCGCAAGAUAAUUCAAAUAUUGAAAUUAUGAAACAAUGACUUCCAAAUCAGCUAUGAUAAUGUGAUCUACAAGCUAAGGUCUAAUAUCCUCAAAACAAAUGGAAAGACAGAACAUCUUAGCAGGGAAAUAAAAGAUUCAACUGGCUCAUGGUUCGUACGGGGGGAUCCAGGCCCAUGGUUGGGAUCCAGGGGUCCCUCCAGUCUCCUGUUCCAUGGUUGCACACACCUUGAGGGCACCCACACGGUUUGAUCGUCUCUUUAUAUUGCUGCUGGCAGACUCGUGAUGGGGUUUCUCAUUCAUCUGAAGAGAAAGUGAGAGAGAAUCAAAGCAUGUGAAGAGAGACCUCAUGCAAGGAGGUCUAGGAGCCUAGAGUGAUCUUCAGCCAACAGUCAAAAAGAUAACUGGGACAACCACAAGGAACUGACUCCUAUAAGAGAAAUGAGCCUGGAAAAGGACUCCAAGCUUCAGAUGAAAAUGUAGUUGGCUGACAUUUUGAUUUUAGUCUUGUGAAACCCUAAGCAGAGAAUCCAAGUAAGUCCCCCUGAACUUCUCACCUAAAGAACAUGAGUUAAUAAAUAAGGGGUAUGAUAAGUC